rnacentral:sRNA from 1 species
GAGGAGGACCUACUCGCUAUUAAGCACCA